rnacentral:rRNA from 1 species
UACGGGGGGAGCAAGCGUUGUUCGGAUUUACUGGGCGUAAAGGGCGCGUAGGCGGCCAGCACAAGUCAGUUGUGAAAUCUCCGGGCUUAACCCGGAAAGGUCAACUGAUACUGCGGGGCUAGAGUGCAGAAGGGGCAACUGGAAUUCUCGGUGUAGCGGUGAAAUGCGUAGAUAUCGAGAGGAACACCUGCGGCGAAGGCGGGUUGCUGGGCUGACACUGACGCUGAACUGCGAAAGCUAGGGGAGCGAACGGG